GACGAACGCUGGCGGCGUGCUUAACACAUGCAAGUCGAACGGAAAGGCCCUGCUUUUGUGGGGUGCUCGAGUGGCGAACGGGUGAGUAACACGUGAGUAACCUGCCCUUGACUUUGGGAUAACUUCAGGAAACUGGGGCUAAUACCGGAUAGGAGCUCCUGCUGCAUGGUGGGGGUUGGAAAGUUUCGGCGGUUGGGGAUGGACUCGCGGCUUAUCAGCUUGUUGGUGGGGUAGUGGCUUACCAAGGCUUUGACGGGUAGCCGGCCUGAGAGGGUGACCGGCAACAUUGGGACGGAGAUACGGCCCAGACUCCUACGGGAGGCAGCAGUGGGGAAUAUUGCACAAUGGGCGGAAGCCUGAUGCAGCAACGCCGCGUGCGGAUGACGGCCUUCGGGUUGUAAACCGCUUUCGCCUGUGACGAAGCGUGAGUGACGGUAAUGGGUAAAGAAGCACCGGCUAACUACGUG
rnacentral:rRNA from 1 species